UUGCUUACUUAUUUAACUGCUGAAUGGUUGCCUUCUCUCUCCCAGAAAAUGUGGGGCAGAGAACAUUUAAAAACACAAAUUCCUAUAUAUAUAUGAGAGAGAAACCCAUGAUUACAGUUGCUAGAGGCUGCUGAGGAAUUUGUGUUUUGAAAUGUUCUUCGCCCCGCAUUUUCUGGGAGAGAGAAGGCAACCAUUCAGCAGUUAAAUAAGUAAGCAA